CCGGAGUUUAGUUCAGGUUAAGCACUUUGAUGUCUACGCCGCCAUUUAGACCCCGAUAAAAAAAAAAAAGAUGGCGUAGCAGGCCAAGGAGGUGAAGGCGAAUCUGUUUAGAUGCAUUCUGGGCAGCCAUGUUGAACAGAGCUUGUGUGCAGCUUAGAAUGUAAACAGGAAGUAGAAGUCAGAUCUCUGAAUGCAAAUAGGAAGAAGAAGUCGGAGCUUAAAGUGUAAACAGGAAGUAGAUGUCAGCGCUAAGAAUCCAAACAUAAAGUAAAUGUCACUGCUUAGAAUGCAAACUGGAAGUGGAAGUUAAAGCUUAAAAUGUAGGAAGUACUGUAUGCGUCAGACGUUUGAAUGUAAACAGGAAGUACAUGUCAUAGCUUAGAAUGUAAACAGGAAGUGGAUGUCAGAGUUUAGAAAAGAAUAUAAACGGGAAGUAGAUCCCAGAGCUUAAAAUGUAAACAGGAAGUGGGUGUCAGAGCUUGGAAUUUAAACAGGAAGUAGAUGUCAGAGUUUGAAACGCAAACAGGAAGUAGAUGCCAGAGCUGAGUGUUAACAGGAAGGAGAAGUCAGAGCUUAGAUUGCCCAGAUUGUCCCAGAUAGAUGAGGCCCUCUGGUUGCAUCCUGCCACCGUGCGCUCCAGCUGUGUCACAUCUGUGCACUGUGACAUUCAGGUAGUCGAGGAGGCCGCGUCACAUUUAACCCCUCGCUGUCUCCAUAUGGGGGGGAUAAACGCCGUCCUCUCCAGACUACAAAGUGGAUAAUGGGACAAGAGAACAGCAGCAGCGGCAGAAGGAAAUCCUCCCUAGUCCAAAACACCUCCGCAAACACUCGUGCGCUCAGCGUGCUUCAGGGCCGCCCGCCUCGCCAUCUGUCCGCCGCAAACACGGGCGGCGCUGAAGCGUUCCUCCAGGAGUCCUCACUGCAAAGUGCUCGCUUUGAACAAGUUGUCCUUCCGCCACGAUGGCACCAACAGCUAGCCGCUAUUGCUACUUCAUUAGUGGAGACAUGUGCCCUUGACCUUCAUCCUCCCGGCGGUGACGACUCCUCCAUCCUCCAUCCGCCCACCACGUCCCGGGGGUGACAUGAAACGCUGCCGUUGAGGUAGACGUCUUCAAACACUGCGCUCAUUAAGCCGAGCUGAUGUCUUCAUUGCUGUAAUCGCAUUACUUUGCGACUAGAGGAACAUGUCACACACUCUAAAACACACACACAGUUGAGUCAGACGUGCACAGAUGGACACGCACAGCAUCAGAUGUGGCAUGAGGGUGAGGAUGACGAUGCUGACAGAGGGGGAUGAUGAAGAUGACGGGGGAGGAAGGUCAUGAUGUCGAGGAUGAUGAAGACGACGAUGACGUCACGCAAUCCUGACAACAGGUGCGCGGCGACGACUGUGCACGAUGGCGUCAUUGAGGAUUGAGAGAAGCAGCCAAGCUCCACCCUCUAACAUCCUGGCCCCACCUCCCACUGUUUGUUAUGGACCACACCGGCCUGCUGAGAUGGAUCGCUGCACAAACAAAUGUUUGCUCUGCCCUUCGCAAACCCCUGAGACACCCAGACACACACACGCUCUUACAUCGGAUUGGUCUGUUGCACACACACUGAAAUAUGUUUUGGAGAGACUACAUUAGUAUUUUUUUAGGCUACUUUCUUGUUUUUUUAAAAAGGACUGCUGUUGAUACCGCGUGUGUGUGUGGGGGUGGUGAGUGAGGGUACCAGCUGGCCACCAGUCAUUGCCCCCACUGGGAGAACUGGGGGUGUUAGGGAGGCAGACAGAGUGAGGGAUGAUGGAGGUGGAAUUGGAAGAGGAA